rnacentral:rRNA from 1 species
GACGAACCGUGCGAACGUUGUUCGGAUUCACUGGGCUUAAAGGGCGCGUAGGCGGGUGCUCAAGUCUGUGGUGAAAUCCUCCAGCUUAACUGGAGAACUGCCAUGGAUACUGGGUGUCUCGAGGAACGUAGGGGUAUGCGGAACGAUUGGUGGAGCGGUGAAAUGCGUUGAUAUCAAUCGGAACUCCGGUGGCGAAGGCGGCAUACUGGACGUUAUCUGACGCUGAGGCGCGAAAGCUAGGGGAGCAAACGGG